UCGUUGGUUAGCCCCUCUGGAUGUGUGCCAUUAAUUUAUCCUAGCACUGGUGGUCAUCCAAAAAUCGGGUACUGUUCCGAAAUACAUCCCCGGCAGCGGUGUCCAGUGGGCCAGAUUUAACGCUGGGGAGGACGGCAGUUUGCCGCCUGGGAGGUGUUCCAUGGAUCAGAAUCAGAGCCGCUGUCUGAUCCGUGGAUCAGGAAAUUCGCUUUACCGUCUCACCGCACAAGUCGAGUUGAAUCCAGAGUCCAGCCGUCUUCUCUUGCAAAGCGACUGGCGAUUUGAAGGCGACGACUGGGAGAUAAAGGUCAGGAGCGGCAGCGGCGAUCCAACAUGGAGUUCUUGAUGCAGCCGAUCUUCAGAUCUGCUGUGCUUGAGGAGAUAGAAGAGAGCCUGGUGCCCGCCCCUCUGGUUGCCGAUGGCGAAGUGGUGGCGGAGCAUGCGGUGCGGCAGCAUCACAGGGCGGCGGACAGCGGCAAAGCACAGAUCAGGGGCGGAGGCCGCAGCGGGCAGAAGGGAUAGCUCCCCUCCGACGCCCGAGCUCUCAACGGGGAAGACGAAUCCCCAGGCGCCCGGAUGGAAUAAGAGGCCAAGGCUUGGUGCAGGACACCAUGCCCAAAUCGAAUCAGUGCGUUCGACAAGGCUGUCAGAUGUUUUGCAGAGAAACUGGCUGAAAAUGUGAUCACACCUGUUCUCGGCAUUACAUUCGACUCCUUGGGCGAGGCUUCUGGUGAUGCUCUCACUGAUUUGUUGUUAGUAAAUCAGAUACAGUAGAGUAGAAUUUUUAUCUGAGAAGCUCAUGAAAAGCGUGCACAUAAUGAAGAGAUGCUUGGUUUCAUUAGGGCUAAAAAAUACCAGCUAAGCAUAUAGUGAAGACAUGGACGAGGGAUGCUCACGACAUCUGCCACCUCAUCUGAUACAAUACCAGAAGGGCAGCAUGCAGAACAACCCUUUUUCGUACAGAAACUUCACGAUGUACAUGCACGCAAUGGAACUAGUCAGGCUGGGCGACACUAGUUUUGAAGCCUACAAUCGAUUGAUGGAGUUGUUCAAGUCGAAUUUGACAGUGAUGUUACCCUAUACAGAAGUUAGGGAUGGUCUUGGCCUCGAGGAUAGACUGGCAGACAGGGGGGCUGUGGUGAAUCAGACCCCCAUGGAGCUGGUUUUGGCGGAACAAAACUUGAACGUCAAAGCAGCUACUGCUGUUUUAGCUGACAAUGAUUCGGUUUCGAGGACAAGCAACAGGUUGGAAGGACUGCUGGCUCCAGCGAAAAAGAAAGAUAUGGGAUGGCCAACGACAAGUACGGAGAAGGCUCCAUAUGAAGGUCUAAGCAAGAGGACUAGGUUUUGCACGAUAUGCUGAAAACAAGGGCAUUAGCAAACUACAUGCCCUGAUGUGGUGAUGUCCCUAAGCAACCUCGGAAGCCUGCCAAAUGUAAGAACUGUGGCUUGCAAGUAGAAUGCAGUUUGACGGGCACCAGCAAAAUAAUUGUAAUAAAGCAAUGGAACUAAGGCUGGCAAGUAGAAUGCAGUUUGGGAAUGCACUGGGACUAGGGUUGGAUUAGCUGGCAGGACGAGGAUGAAGUUGGUUCCGGCCAAGAGCAGCGUGGAGGCGCGGCACAGGGGAGGCUCGCUGCACCUGUGGCUGCAUGCGCACAUGUGGUGGCUGAAUCUCCGCCUGGCUGCCGUGGUCGAAGUUGUGGUCUCGCCUGUAUCUCUGCUGAAGGGGAGCCGACGGCUGCGUCAGCCCUGCGCGAGUCAGCUCCGGCAGAAGCGAGCUCCGGCGCGCGAGGCGAAGGUGACCACCUUGUCGAGGUAGUCAGGGCAAGAGAUCGGUGGCGGCACUUCCUGAGGCUGCGAGGAAGAAAAGUGAAUCUUCCAGAGCAAGGGUGUGUGCGGUGGAUGCAGUGCAUGUAUAUUAAAAAAAUGUUCGCUGGAAGCCACCGUUGGGUGUGUAACAGCUGAGCCGUGGACCACAACGCUAGUGUCCAUCUGAGCCGGCUAGUGCUGGUUGAUGGACGUCCCAAUAAAUGCGGUUGGUGAGUGGGCCCUAGUCUGUGAAAAAGCAUCCCAUACUACUCACAAUACGCAGUAAAAUACAUCUUCUGAUGUGAAUCUUAGCGCCA